UCGAAAAUGAAUGAUGUAGCCCUACCGAA
rnacentral:piRNA from 1 species